GGAUAGCUCAGUUGGUUAGAGCACAGUGAUGAGAAUGCCAAGGUUGCUGGUUCGAAUCCCGUAAGGGACA